CUGAGGCAGUGACGAGGUGGAUAUGAUGUAGCUUGUUGGGAAAACCACAGAAUCUGUGCUCAGCUGAUCCUUUACCAGCCCCAACGCCGCCACGCAUCUCUGCAUCAAUCAACCACCCCAUACCUCCCAGGUUGCUGCCCCUGGGGAACAUCACUGGGUAACUCGCUCAUACCUCCCGCGAAGGGAUUUGUUAGACUCUGGAACACCAAAGAUGAAAGGCACAGGCAGGCCUGCCCUCAAGGAGCUUCAGCCACAGGAGGAAAGGGAACAAAACGUGAGAUUCAAGAGCUGUUCCCAAGUGACGCGCAUCCAUUCACCAAGUUAAUGCUUAAUAAGAACGAUCUACAAAGGGUGACCGAAAGAUGAGGAGAGUGAAGACUGCCUCCAGUGAGCAUGAACGAGCGAAAUAAAUAAAUAGAUGCCAUGCUGAUCCCAAAAGAAGGAAGGUGCAGGAAGGGGAACUUGCACAGCAAUUCUGGGGAGCAGGUGGGGAGAAGGAGGACAAUGUUUACUUGUGGACAUGGGCAUGUUUCUUUUUCUCAGGUGUGACGUGAGAUCCCACCUGGGAUUGGGAUGCUUCUGCCAAACUCAGGUUGAGAUGAGUGUACAGAUGAGUCACACUUGAAAUAUACAGAGAUGAGCUAUAUCUGAAAUGUACAUGGAUGAGCUAUACUUGAAAUGUACAUGGAUUGGCAGCUAUACCUGAAAUGUACACAGAUGAGCUAUACUUGAAAUAUACACAGAGGAGCUAUACCAGAAAUGUACAUAGAUGAGCUGCACUCCUCUGUGAACUGUGCAAGGUGAGCCCUUACAUAAACACGCAUUGAUUCCACAGCCAGGGAGGGAUUAGUUUCCGGGGAAAGGAAAGUUUGGUUAACUCUGAAGGAAGCACAAUGAUCACAAAGCUACAGAAAUGAAAUAACCAGUCCUACUUUUUAACCUGCUUUUGUCUAUAUUGUCUCAUUUAAUGUUUGCAAAAAUCCUGUAGGCACCAGUAUUAGUAUCUCUACAAAACAGAGAAAGAGGUUAAAGGAUUUUCUGAAGGUCAGUCAACAAUUUAGUGGUGUAUUUGGGAUUCAAAGACAGGUCUUUAUUCUUUCCCAGUAUUUACAUGAUAUAUAAAAUGCUAUAUCUCCUUUAUAUUUAACAUAUAUAUAUAUAUUUAUGUAAUUCAAUUCAGCUCAGUUGAUCAGUCACGUCUGACUCUUUGCAACCCCAUGGACUGCAGCAUGCCAGGCUUCCCUGUCCAUCGCCAACUCCCGGAGCUUGCUCAGACUAGGGUCCAUCGAGUUGGUGAUACUGUCCAACCACAUCAUCCUCUGUCGUCCCUUUCUCCUCCUGCCUUCAAUCUUUCCCAGCAUCAGGGUCUUUUCCAAUGAGUCAGUUCUUCACAUCAGGUGGCCAAAGUAUUGACAUUUCAGCUGCAGCAUCAGCAUAAUACAUAUUUUAUAUUGCAAGUUUGGGGAAUUCCCAGGUGGUGCUAGUGGUAAAGAACCUGCUUGCUAAUGCACGAGACAUAGAGACAUGGGUUCGAUCCUUGGAUUGGGAAGAUCCCCUGGAGGAGGUAUGGCAACCCACUCCAGU
ensembl:lncRNA